UUGUUGUUCAUCUCUUCUUUAGACUAACAGCUACCAUCCCUAUGCAAAAUGAAGGCAGUGCUGUGUGAGUCGCCAAUUGUGUGUAUACCUGCUACCAAAGCUAGAAGCAUCUCACGUUGUGAAGCAGGGGGAUGACAAGCUGCAGAGACUGAAGUUCUCCAGGAAGGAGACUUCAUGUAUUUGAGGAAGUGCUAAGCAUCAUGAUGGUAUUUAGCGACUGUUGGAGGCAUAACUGGAAUAUCAUUGGAAGCAGAGGAUUGUGAAUGAUGAGUUAUUAGUCAGCACAUGACACCACAUACACAUUCAGUUCAUAAGAAAUAAGCAGCUCAAGCAGAAGGAGCCUGUGCUAGAGAUGUCCCGUUCAGACAACCAGC